CACAUUGGUGAACGUCAGAUAGGGAAAACGCCCGCGUCGAUGAAACAUAUUCGCGAGACGCCAAUAUUUCAGAGGCGAACGUAUGUCCGCCCCUCCACAGUAUGACAGUGACCCAAAUGGAGCGCCAGCGCAGUCAGUUCCGUGAGCGCGCGACAGCUUGGUUGACGUAUGCGCUUGGCUCGACACGCCGCGCUCUCGUGAGAUUCUAUUCGCUAUCGUUAUAGUGUGUUGUGCAUUGGAUAUUGCCGUGUACAAUGCAGUGAGUGAGCACUGGCCGGAGCGCCGGUCAUGUGCCAACGCUAGAUCGUCCUGGUGGUUGACCUUUCAAGAUGAGUUUGGUGGAAAUUACAAAUACCGAAUGAGACAUAAUGCUAUCGCUGUCAUGCUGAAACCGCUGUGACGAUCAUACGAGGAGGUGUUCGCGCCAAGCGGUGAGCCGACAACAGGGGCCGAGUUGUUCCCGCCAAAACGAGCGCAGGCUGUGGCGCGAAGGCUCGUGAUUGGUCGAGAGAAACGGCGCGGUGGCGGUGGCGCGGCGCGGUGCGCAAGGCCGCCGGUUUUCCCGCGAACAAUGCCAAAUGGUGCAUUUGUCAAGGUGAGUUCGUUCACCGCCGACGCCGGCGCCGCGCGCUCCUCAGACAAUCGCUCACUCGCUUCGCGCCAAACGAAGGUCGACGGAAGGCAGCGCGGCACUCGCGCGCCGUUUCACCGCUCUGAAGACACGAUCAUUAACAUAUUAUAACUUUAUUACAGGAUUUCAUCUAUCAUGGACAAACUAUCAAUUGGACUUCAAUCGUUGACUACAAAUACGGAAACCGGUUAAGGAAGCUCUGAUUUUUAUUAAAAUAUAAAAUCAUAUAUCCAA